rnacentral:rRNA from 1 species
CGACCGGCGCACGGGUGAGUAACACGUAUGCAAUCCACCUGUAACAGGGGGAGUAACCCGGAGAAAUCCGGACUAAUACCCCAUAAUAUGGGCUCUCCGCAUGGAGGGUCCAUUAAAGAGAGCAAUUUUGGUUACAGACGAGCAUGCGCUCCAUUAGCCAGUUGGCGGGGUAACGGCCCACCAAAGCGACGAUGGAUAGGGGUUCUGAGAGGAAGGUCCCCCACAUUGGAACUGAGACACGGUCCAA